rnacentral:lncRNA from 1 species
AGGAGAGAUUUCAACUGCUGCGAUCCCCUGUCCUAUUUUAUCUCAUUUCUGACAGCCCAUGUCUGCUGAGGCUGGGAAGUGGUGAGGAGACGAGAGCAGCUUCCUGCAUUUGUGGAUGGAGAAGCACUCCUUCCUCUGACAGCCUGCUUGCUUUGCCUGUUUCCUGCAGUACUGAUGCACUGUCUCUUGCCUUCUGGACCAGCUGCAUCUUCAGGACAACGUCCCAGAUGGCUCUUUUAGGGAAAGAAAUCAGAGACUGAUUGGUGGCCAAAAAAAGUCUCUCAUCCAGUAUCAAAGCUUUAGCUGCACCUUAUGCUUCCCAAGGACGGCUUGGAAAGGGCACAGUGGAGCUGCUGCUGAUCCUCUUGCACCGGGCUCAGGGGGUAUCUGGAGAAACCCUGUGUUUCCAGAUAAGGACGUGCUGGAUUUACAGUUGUCUACCACUGUUAAUGCAUCCUCGUCUGCGUGGUCGUGUGAAGCGGGACCGGACAUCUUCCUCUGCCACGCUGCCCCGACCUUUGUGGUGAGGUUGUGCAUGGAGAAAUGUGCUGAACCACCCCGUUGCCAUGGAAACCAAGGCCGAGAGGGGACCAGCCUGCUCCUGCUAAUUGCUGUGGCUUUGUGACCCCAUCCGUCCAUCCUGCUGCCUCCCGUGAGCCUGUCCGAAUGCACAGCGCUGGCCCCAUCCUGCAUCAUCCUGCCCUUUGGCUCCCAGCCCCAAUGCUGUGAGCAGGAUCUGGGGUUCCUCUUUCUCUCCUUUGUGUUGUCACAACCUGCACAAGAUCAGUUAAAAUCCGUGGCUUGAGCAUCCCUGCAGCCCAUCACCCCGUGCGUGCACAUCUGCCUGCAUGCUUGUUGCAGGAGCACGGUGGCGGUGCAGUGAUGCACCUCCCUUGCCCUGCAUCCCGGGCUGCCCUGCCUUUAUCUCGUCCAAUUAAAUAACUGCAGAUAGUGGGCUUAAUAAGGCCCUGCUAUGAAAGAUUACUGACGAUUUCUUUCCCAACGUGCGGUGAAUUAGGAGGCAGUGAGCAGGGAAAGGACUGCUGCUAAUUACAGUCCCCCAUGUCCCCUCUGCUGCCACCACUGCUGCUGGGCCCCUCGCUGCUCCCUGCACCUGAUUGCAUUUUGCUGCUGGUUGUGGCCAAUUUGCAGCUCUCAGCUGCUGCUGCUUCUCCCUUCCCCCCACGCCCCCUGCUCCUCUUCGAGUUUAUUAAUGAAAACCUUAUCUGUCGGUGCAGAUAAUGCCAGAAAUAAUUAGUGCACACGGAGGGCUGGCAGGCUGCUCUCUGC